rnacentral:rRNA from 1 species
UACAGAGGGGGCGAGCGUUGUUCGGAAUUACUGGGCGUAAAGGGCGCGUAGGCGGCCUCUGCAAGUCGACUGUGAAAUCUCCGGGCUUAACCCGGAACGGUCAGCCGAUACUGCAGGGCUAGAGUGCAGAAGGGGCAACUGGAAUUCUCGGUGUAGCGGUGAAAUGCGUAGAUAUCGAGAGGAACACCUGCGGCGAAGGCGGGUUGCUGGGCUGACACUGACGCUGAGGCGCGAAAGCUAGGGGAGCGAACGGG